AAAUUUCAGCGUUAUCAUUACGGUUUUGUUGUCUUCAUCACUAUUAAGGUUAGAAAACUUCAGAGAAAGAGAUCGUUGGGUGCUGGAAAUG